UCCAGAGCGCUAGGCUCUACUUCUCUAAUUCUAUCUAAUCAAUCCUAUAGAACUUGAAGGAAUUGGAAGUCGCUAGUUCUAAUUCUCUAUGGGAGAGAAAUUCCUAAACCCUAACUUUGAUGGCUUCGUCUGAUAAUGAUUUCUCCUCCUCCCCUGGGGUGGAGAGGCCUUGCUUAUAUAGCCCCCUCAAAUGAAUGUGGGCCGUUGGAUCAAACCGACCUUAAUCGCACGGUUAUUCUUGAAGAUUAGAGGCGGUGGAGCACGAUCUGUGAGACUUGCCCUGAUUGGCCACCAGGGCAGGGCGGGCACCCAGGGGGGAGGGCGGGCGCCCUGCCCCCGGGCCCGAUCGGCCUCCCGUUCGUUCCCGUGGCUUAUGGACUCUUCUUGAUUGAGGAAAAUUGUGCGGCACGUAAUUAUCUCGUUAUAAACCUAACAUGUGGGCCUUCUCUCCAUAUUUCCUGAUAACCCCCUGCAGAAAUAGACAAACACCAAAGCUCGUGGAAUUCUGUCAGAUAAAACCCUAAUUCUAGAUGUUUGGUGCAUAUUGAUCUUUUUCCAUGUUUAGUUGACGGUUAAAUUUAGUACUUAAGGACUGUCAACAAACUCCCCCAAGCUUACCCUUUGCUCGUCCCUGAGCCAACAGUUAAACUCAGAUGGAUCAAGAGUUGCUUUGAUGUUUUCUUUCCUGACAGGCACACAUGCUUUCAUAUAAAAUUCUCCCAGAUUAAAGUGUCAUGGGGCUUAGUACCAGCACUUAAGUCUUAAUUAAUCGAAAGACAAAAUAAUUAAGUCAAGUACUAUUCCUCCUAUCUAUACUUCACCUUUGUUCUGGAGUUUUGCAUAAGUUUUCAAAAAUAAAGCUCAGAGUUCCCAACUAUGAUACUCUCAAAUCUCUCUAUAUAUGGUAUUUGUGGAUCCUUACCAAAAAUGUCACCUACCUAUAACUAAGGGAAUGUUUAUGCGAAGCUCAUAGGUGUGAAAAAUAGCUCACACAUAUGUUGUCUAAUCGAGCCAUGGAUCCAAAGGAACUCAGCAUAUAAUUAAAUCAAGAUGUGCAUGUGUGGUGGAGUAAAUGAUAGUGAUGGUAAAAAUAUAAGUAAUGAUAAAACUUACUUCUCAUUGCUCCUCAUAUUGCUAUCUCUCCUCUUUGAUCUUUGCUUUGGGAGAACAUGGGCUAUUUCUUUUUUAUAUUUUUCUUUUUUAGGUGGGUAGUAAAUACCUCUAAUUCUACUGUCGGACACUUGUCCAUUUUUUCCGCUCAAGUGGGUAUCUUUAUACCCCUAAUUCUACUCCAAACACUUGUCCAUUUUAACCUCUUGUCUCACUCUUUUUCUUUCUUUUUCGAGGUUCUAGGAACUUGCCCCUUUUUUAUUUCCUCGCAUAUUUUUGCAUAACCCAUGCCUCUUCUGCAUUGAUUCUUUUUGGAGAGAGAAUAACAACACUUGGGACAGUGAGUGAUAAUAUUUUUAGCAAUUUUAAUGAAUGGUGGUGGAUGGUGUAGUAAAUGUGUGCAAGUGAAUAUCUUAAUUUAACCACAUAAAAAGCUCCUAAGGGUCUACACAGCUCGAUCAAACUCAAUAUGAAUAUAAGUAACAAAAGAUGUUAUAGCAAGUAUGGCUGUGGUAGGAAUUUUUUCAUACUAGGAACUCAUCAUGUGAUUUGCAAGUUUUCAAAAUAAAUCUCCAGAACUUAGUGUAGUAGGAACAAGUUAAACAAUAUCUCAAACUUUAUAUCAUGUCCUUCUCUUACCAAGACUUUGGUUUUAGGUUCAUGCUUCCCAUAGAUAGUAAAUUUUAGUUUUAGUAAUUCCUAGAAGAACUUUAAUAUAAAAGCUAGGUACUUGAAAGUAAGCAAAGAGAGCAACUGUUCAUCAUUUCCAUCAUGCAUCUUCUUAGUCUUUUUAUUUUUCUAGAGAUUAACACUUGGCAGAUAAAUAAAGCACACUAAUCUACACACUCUUUUUAUUUUAUUUUCAUUUUUAAGGAAUGUAGUAAAUUAAGCAAGAAUUUAUUUAUUGAGUUUUCUAAGUUUUUUUUUGAAAUAAUAAAACAGAUAAAUAAAUAAGAAAAACAAAUAAAAACUUAAUCGGUAAAAUAAGGAGGAACUCCCCCAAGCUAGAUGUUGUUGUGUCAGUCCUACUAAAUGUUCCAUAAUCGCAUCAUGGUGGUGUCUUGCCUCAGUCCUUGUACUGCAGCGGCGUGGUCCUGGUUCCACUUUUGUUGUUGUUCCAGGAGUCGUCCAUGUUCUGCUUGCGUAUUCUGGAUGCCGAGGAGGGUGUUGUCGGUACGGGUGAAGAAGGCGCCGGCCUCUUGGUAGUAGUCAUUCGUGAAAGCAUAAGAGGCGUCGGAGUACCGUCCUGCAUCGAAUUGGGGCUGGGGCCUAGACCCUGAAGCUCCAUAUGGAUCAGUGGAGUACCUGCCCGUACUAAAAGGUGGGUUUGACCACCGGUGAUCUUGGCCUUCUAGCCACGUCUCCUGUGUCGGCUCCUGCGGCUGAGCAUGUCGAACCCACGGGUCCCGAAGGACUCGGGGGUUGUAGUCGCGGUAAUGCAGGUGCGCUGCUUCUUCCGGCCCGGGAUCAGCUCCAUACCAGGUGUGUUCUUGAUGGGUGGUGAUCCUUUCGGAUGCCACUCGCUAUGGAGCUCUCUGGUUUACUGGUGUCACUGCAAUCUCAAUCAAAUAAUGGACGACAUAGAGGCCAAGAUUCGGGUUAGGUAACCGAAUCUUGCCUUUAUUAUCGUAUAACAUAUAAAUUAUGUUCCCCUCUUUUUUCAGCAUCCGAGCUUGCCUAAAUGUGUCAUAGCCAUGAUAAAUUCGUAACACAUCAAUGAAUUCCAAUGACGAGUUUUCUAGCAAAUUAAGACUAGUGGCUAGACGAGUGAUGAGUGAAGUACAACCGACAGGUCCCUGAAGACUAGGUAUACUAAGCCAAUGAGAAACCA
rnacentral:lncRNA from 1 species